rnacentral:pre_miRNA from 1 species
GUUUUACCAUGAGUUCCCUGCAAGAACUUCACGAGGCAUUGUUCCAAACGCCGUCGUGAAGUGUUUGGGGGAACUCUUGGUGCCAC